GUAACACAGGCAGUACACCAGCAUGUCUGUAACACAGGCAGUACACCAGCAUGUCUGUAACACAGGCAGUACACCAGCAUGUCUGUAACACAGGCAGUACACCAGCAUGUCUGUAACAGAGGCAGUACACCAGCAUGUCUGUAACACAGGCAGUACACCAGCAUGUCUGUAACACAGGUUAACACAGGCAGUACACCAGCAUGUCUGUAACACAGGCAGUACACCAGCAUGUCUGUAACACAGGCAGUACACCAGCAUGUCUGUAACACAGGCAGUACACCAGCAUGUCUGUAACACAGGCAGCACACCAGCAUGAAUGUCUGUAACAC